GAGGAAACAGGACUUGCUUAACCUGCUACCAAACAGCAGCCACUCGUACCUGUGAGUACACAGAAAGAGCCAGGUUCUUCACAGCAGUGCAGUGUGGAAGGAGAAGAGACAAUAGACAUACAUUGAAACGAUAAACCUCCCAGAUAUACUAAAAUCUCUGAAAUGAAACACUGAUUUAUGUUUCACUUGAACUCCACACUACAAGAAGAUUCACUAGAAAGAAUGUGAACGUCAGGGGAUCAGUUCUGACCCCUAAAACUGAACAAGAGGAUUCAAACCAGUGAAAUAAAUCGCUGCAUCAAAAUGUACUACAAAAUCUCUGUUGCCUGCAAUCCUAACAGGGAUCCAGGGCUAAGUUGGAACAACAUAACAU